GAUGAAGAACGUAGCGAAAUGCGAUAAGUAAUGUGAAUUGCAGAAUUCAGUGAAUCAUCGAAUCUUUGAACGCACAUUGCGCCCGCCAGUAUUCUGGCGGGCAUGCCUGUUCGAGCGUCAUUACAACCCUCAGGCCCCCGGGCCUGGCGUUGGGGAUCGGCGGAAGCCCCCUGCGGGCACAACGCCGUCCCCCAAAUACAGUGGCGGUCCCGCCGCAGCUUCCAUUGCGUAGUAGCUAACACCUCGCAACUGGAGAGCGGCGCGGCCACGCCGUGAAACACCCAACUUCUGAAUGUUGACCUCGAAUCAGGUAGGAAUACCCGCUGAACUUAAGCAUAUCAAUAAGCGGAGGA
rnacentral:misc_RNA from 1 species